rnacentral:rRNA from 1 species
UACAGAGGUCCCAAGCGUUGUUCGGAUUCAUUGGGCGUAAAGGGUGCGUAGGCGGCGCGGUAAGUCGGGUGUGAAAUCUCGGAGCUUAACUCCGAAACUGCAUUCGAUACUGCCGUGCUUGAGGACUGGAGAGGAGACUGGAAUUUACGGUGUAGCGGUGAAAUGCGUAGAUAUGUGGAGGAAUACCGAUGGCGAAGGCAGCCCCCUGGGAUAACACUGACGCUCAUGCACGAAAGCGUGGGGAGCGAACAGG